AACGAGAGGACAAGAGAAGCUUGCUUCUUUUGGAAUCGAGUGGCAAACGGGUGAGUAACACGUAAACAACCUGCCUUCAGGAUGGGGACAACAGACGGAAACGACUGCUAAUACCGAAUACGCUUGGGAGACCGCAUGAUCUUCCAAGGAAAGGGUGGCCUCUACCUGUAAGCUAUCGCCUGAAGAGGGGUUUGCGUCUGAUUAGGCAGUUGGCGAGGUAACGGCCCACCAAACCUACGAUCAGUAGCCGGUCUGAGAGGAUGAACUGCCACACUGGAACUGAGACACGGUCCAGACUCCUACGGGAGGCAGCAGUGGGGAAUCUUCCGCAAUGGGCGAAAGCCUGACGGAGCAACGCCGCGUGAGUGAUGACGGCCUUCGGGUUGUAAAGCUCUGUGAUCGGGGACGAACGGUCCGUAAGUCAAUACCUUAUGGAAGUGACGGUACCCGAAUAGCAAGCCACGGCUAACUACGUGCCAGCAGCCGCGGUAAUACGUAGGUGGCAAGCGUUGUCCGGAAUUAUUGGGCGUAAAGCGCGCGCAGGCGGCUUUCUAAGUCCAUCUUAAAAGUGCGGGGCUUAACCCC
rnacentral:rRNA from 1 species